GGGCACCCACUUGAAUAGGACUGAGAUCCCUAGAAUCAAUCCCUAAGUUCCAGAACUAUAUUGCCAGUGUAGGUUCGAGAUAUCACCAAUUAGAUAGGACUGACAUACUCAGGGGUCACCCGCAAGCACAUUUAUAUGUAUAGGACUAAUCCCAAGAGUCACCCACUAGAUUGGGACAUACUCCAUAGCAGAUGUCUUUACUGGUGGUGCGGUACUGACACCCUUCAAUUCAGGGCAGAGAUUGGACCCCAGUCAGCUUAGCUCUAGGCAUGUUGGUUAGAUGAACACAUC
rnacentral:lncRNA from 1 species